rnacentral:rRNA from 1 species
AUUGAACGCUGGCGGAAUGCUUUACACAUGCAAGUCGAGCGGCAGCGCGGCCUUCGGGCUGGCGGCGAGCGGCGAACGGGUGAGUAAUGCAUCGGAACAUGCCCAGUCGUGGGGGAUAACACUUCGAAAGAAGUGCUAAUACCGCAUACGUCCUGAGGGGGAAAGCGGGGGAUCGCAAGACCUCGCGCGAUUGGAGUGGCCGAUGUCAGAUUAGCUAGUUGGUGGGGUAAAGGCCUGCCAAGGCGACGAUCUGUAGCUGGUCUGAGAGGAUGAUCAGCCACACUGGGACUGAGACACGGCCCAGACUCCUACGGGAGGCAGCAGUGGGGAAUUUUGGACAAUGGGGGCAACCCUGAUCCAGCCAUUCCGCGUGAGUGAAGAAGGCCUUCGGGUUGUAAAGCUCUUUCGGCAGGAACGAAACGGUGGGCUCUAACAUAGUCCGCUAAUGACGGUACCUGAAGAAGAAGCACCGGCUAACUACGUG